CUUGAGAAGCAGCAACAACAACAACAACACCAGAAGCAAUCUCUCCUCUAAUUUCCCAAUUCCUAACACCAAAGAAGGCAAAGAAAUGUGCGGCCUUUUUCCAACAUUGGGUUCCCCAUGCCCCUGUUUCGCUAUUCCAUUCUCACAGACUUCGUUAUCUCUUCGAUUAGGUUUGGGGGUUUGGAGGUGGUUAUCAUCUACAACGAGGCAAGAGAGCGCUGAUGAAGACGCUUGGAACAAUUUGGCAAGAAAACCCUUAUUGAUGCAAUAUUGUGAAUAGACAGAGCAGAGAUUUGGUAUUUCCUCUACAGAGGAAGCAGAUGAUGAUGUUAACACGCAGGGAAC
rnacentral:lncRNA from 1 species